UAAAGAGAGUAUGAUCCAGGCUCAGGACGAACGCUGGCGGCGUGCCAAAUACAUGCAAGUCGAACGAACGGAGGAAGAGCUUGCUCUUCCAAUGAUAGUGGCGGACGGGUGAGUAUCACGUGGGCAACCUGCCUGUAAGUUGGGGAUAACUCCGGGAUACCGGGGCUAAUACCGAAUGAU
rnacentral:rRNA from 1 species